UUGCAAAUGUGUGGACCCCUCAGAAUGGAACUGACCUGAGCCUUUUAUUUUGCAGUUGAGGCUCACUGCCCCCUGGAUGGGCAGUGAGUCAGUGGAUU
ensembl:misc_RNA